UCCAUUUUAUUCAGAAAAUUCAAACAUUAUCUUUAGCAUAAUUUAGGCAAUCAAGACGUAUUAACAGUGCAUAAAAAAUUAUUACUAAUAUUAACAACAUGAUUCAAAAGCACCAAAAAUACCAAUUGCCUAAAAGACAUAAUUUGGCUGAUAGGAACCCAGGGCAGCCCUUUAAAGAAAAAACAAUAUCAUUAUUAAUACUGCCUGUUAGACAUUUUUGGGCAUAUUGUUUCUUAAUAAAACAGUGCAUAAACCAUCAAAAGAAAACUUGAAACAACCCUUUUUUUUAGUCCACUUGAAACACAUCAAAUGCACUGAAAAUAAACAAAACGACUCGAUACUUAUUUUCGGCCUAAAACCAACGGCAACCCAUAAAAGGAACGAUCCAGCAGCUAAAUUCAUUAACAUAAGAAAACUUUAUACUGGGCCAACACAACCUGGGUCGUAGCCUACAGCCAGAUUAGGCCCGCUAAGCCACCCGCAGCCCGACUGCAGCGGAGCAUCAACGUCAGCCGUCGAUCCCAUCUAACGGUUGUAAGUUGCUCCCUUCGGAACAAAACUAACUCGCGCUGGCAAACCCUAGCGCAUUCUUCUCUCCUCCCCCGCUUUCUCCGCUCGCGACCGACCACUGGCGGCGGCACAAAGCAAGGCGCGAGAGCCCGGUGUCCAUGGCGGUUCGGCGGCUCCGCUCGCCGGAGUAGCGUGCAACGGAGGGAUCCCGCGCGCUGCUCCGUCGAGCGUGGCCACCCGUGCAGCUACACGACAUUUAUUGCGGGAUGCCGGAGGAGAGAGCAGUGGUGCCAGUUCGGCCAUAAGUGCCCGCCGGCGGUGACGCGAGGCACUCGGCGUCAUCCAUUAGGCGUCGUAAACCUGCGGCUCGUCCGCCGCUGCGGAUGGCACGCCUUCAACGAUGCUGCUGCAGCAUGAGGUACUGACGUUGACGCGCAUGGCGUGGUGGCCAUGCUCGUAGGCGUCCAUGAUGUGUGUGCGGCACGGCAACAUCUCCAAUCUGGAGCGGGAUAGCCCCUGGCUCCACCUUAGCAUCUCCAGCAGUGAGAAGAUCGUCGGGAGGAAGGGCAUCAGCAGGCGAUGUAGCAGACACGAAGGAUGCCGCCGGCACGGACCUGGAGGUGGCCGGCGGUGGUGGUGGUCUUCUGAUCCCCUUAAGCACCCUUUCAGGAUCGGCUGUUAGGAGUAACCGGGUGCUAACCCGUACGUGUGUUACCCCCAAGGGGUACGACCUCCUCAUUUUGUAAGUGGUGCGAAGGGGACAGGGACCAAAACCAAAAGUUGGGUCAAUGCCCCCGAUCAGGGCAUGUACUAGGGAUGCAAAUCCUCCCCUUCUUUGUCUCAGUUUGUUAUAACCGUAGAUCAAUUCCAACAUAUAGGAGUACA